GAAAUGCGAUACUUGGUGUGAAUUGCAGAACCGUGAGUCAUCAGAUUUUUGAACGCAAUUGGCGCCCGUUGGCUCUCCAACGGGCAUGCUUGUUUCAGUGUCUCUUUAUCUCAUCACCCAGAUCAUAAUGCGAGAGAUACCCUUCUCUUGUUAAACAUGAAAGCACUCUGCGCUCUGCGAGCGGCUUCGACUUGUUCGAGGGUCGCACUCAAUGCAGCAGUCACAUUGCUCACAAUGUGAACUCAUUGAGAGUAGAGGCAGUGCGGCGUAAGCUGCCAGUGCUUAGUCACUCAAACUUUACUUGCAUCUGAAAUCAAGCAGGAUCACCCGCUGAACUUAA
rnacentral:misc_RNA from 1 species